GUUGCUAAAUACUAUAUAUGUAAAUAUUAAAGGUUUCUAAAUGUUGGUAGUCAAAUUUUUUCAACUUUCAAAAAAAGAUUUAAAAAAUUACGUAUAUUAAUUAUAUGUCUUUUUGAAUGAAUUAUGAAUACUUAAAUCUAAUCAAUAUAUAUUGUUUUUAAUGAUUCAACAUUGAAUGAAAUAAUCAUUUACAAAUACAAAAUCUGGUAAUAAAAAGGGAAGAUAACUACACAUUUAAGUUAAAUUUAACUUAUGUUAACCGUGUGGAUCUAGUCAGUUCCAGCUAUUAGACAAUAAAAAAGACAAAAUACGAAAUUAUUUUCAUGAAAUUCAGUUGAUUCAUUGUCAG
rnacentral:lncRNA from 1 species